ACGGGAGGCAGCAGUGAGGAAUAUUGGUCAAUGGACGGAAGUCUGAACCAGCCAUGUCGCGUGAAGGAGGAAGGUGCUAUGCAUUGUAAACUUCUUUUAUCUGGGGGUAAAGUGGCCCACGUGUGGGCUAUUGCAAGUACCAGAUGAAUAAGCAUCGGCUAACUCCGUGCCAGCAGCCGCGGUAAUACGGAGGAUGCGAGCGUUAUCCGGAUUUAUUGGGUUUAAAGGGUGCGUAGGCGGGAGAUCAAGUCAGCGGUGAAAUUCUGUGGCUCAACCAUAGGGCUGCCGUUGAAACUGGUUUUCUUGAGUGCGGCAGAGGUAGGCGGAAUGUGUGGUGUAGCGGUGAAAUGCUUAGAUAUCACACAGAACACCGAUUGCGAAGGCAGCUUACUGGAGCGCAACUGACGCUGAGGCACGAAAGCGUGGGGAUCGAACAGGAUUAGAUACCCUGGUA
rnacentral:rRNA from 1 species